AUGUCUGUCACACCUUAUGUGUACAGCAGCGUGGAACACAACCAGCCAAGCUCCCUUUUGGUAAAACCUGGAGAAUCUUUUACCAUUACCUGUAAAAUAUCUGGAUAUGCUCUCAGUGAUACCUCUAAGGCACCUACCUGGAUUAGACACACUCAUGGGAAGAUCCUUGGACACUCUCAGGGGAAGAUCCUUGGGUUCAUUGGCAUGAUCCAUGCUGGUGGUGGAAUACACUACAAGGAUUCGUUAAAAAAUAAGUUCACUAUCUCCAGAGACACAUCUACAAGCACAGUAUAUCUUAAAGGACAAAAUCUACAAACUGAGGACACGGCUGUGUAUUAUUGUGUUCGGUAUUGA